UUGGGGGCCUUUCGGGAGGCAGCAGUAGGGAAUCUUCCGCAAUGGGCGAAAGCCUGACGGAGCAACGCCGCGUGAGUGAUGAAGGUCUUCGGAUCGUAAAACUCUGUUAUCAGGGAAGAACAAACGUGUAAGUAACUGUGCACGUCUUGACGGUACCUGAUCAGAAAGCCACGGCUAACUACGUGCCAGCAGCCGCGGUAAUACGUAGGUGGCAAGCGUUAUCCGGAAUUAUUGGGCGUAAAGCGCGCGUAGGCGGUUUUUUAAGUCUGAUGUGAAAGCCCACGGCUCAACCGUGGAGGGUCAUUGGAAACUGGAAAACUUGAGUGCAGAAGAGGAAAGUGGAAUUCCAUGUGUAGCGGUGAAAUGCGCAGAGAUAUGGAGGAACACCAGUGGCGAAGGCGACUUUCUGGUCUGUAACUGACGCUGAUGUGCGAAAGCGUGGGGAUCAAACAGGAUUAGAUACCCUGGUAGUCCACGCCGUAAACGAUGAGUGCUAAGUGUUAGGGGGUUUCCGCCCCUUAGUGCUGCAGCUAACGCAUAAGCACUCCGCCUGGGA
rnacentral:rRNA from 1 species